rnacentral:rRNA from 1 species
AGCUAAUACCGCAUAACGUCGCAAGACCAAAGAGGGGGACCUUCGGGCCUCUUGCCAUCGGAUGUGCCCAGAUGGGAUUAGCUAGUAGGUGGGGUAACGGCUCACCUAGGCGACGAUCCCUAGCUGGUCUGAGAGGAUGACCAGCCACACUGGAACUGAGACACGGUCCAGACUCCUACGGGAGGCAGCAGUGGGGAAUAUUGCACAAUGGGCGCAAGCCUGAUGCAGCCAUGCCGCGUGUAUGAAGAAGGCCUUCGGGUUGUAAAGUACUUUCAGCGGGGAGGAAGGGAGUAAAGUUAAUACCUUUGCUCAUUGACGUUACCCGCAGAAGAAGCACCGGCUAACUCCGUGCCAGCAGCCGCGGUAAUACGGAGGGUGCAAGCGUUAAUCGGAAUUACUGGGCGUAAAGCGCACGCAGGCGGUUUGUUAAGUCAGAUGUGAAAUCCCCGGGCUCAACCUGGGAACUGCAUCUGAUACUGGCAAGCUUGAGUCUCGUAGAGGGGGGUAGAAUUCCAGGUGUAGCGGUGAAAUGCGUAGAGAUCUGGAGGAAUACCGGUGGCGAAGGCGGCCCCCUGGACGAAGACUGACGCUCAGGUGCGAAAGCGUGGGGAGCAAACAGG